rnacentral:lncRNA from 1 species
GCCAGGAUCAUUAAAAGGAUAAGCAAGAAGAGAAGGAGCUUUCCCUAAAGAGGACAAAAUACAUGCUCAAAAUGGUCAUUGCCUUGUAAGCUAGCUGCAAGUUUGCAUAUCGAAGAACUUAGGAGGAUCAAGAGUGAUCAACCUUCAUCUCUUCCAUCAAUGCGUACUUCAAAAAUGGUGGUGGCGGCAUCCAUAUAGUGAAAAACAAAGGAUAAUGGAGAAACCUCAUCCUCAACUUACACCAUAACAAACUUAGCAUUCUUAUUACUCUAAUCAUGGAGAUCGACAUAUCCAAUGCCCCAAAAAAAUCAACUGGAGGU